GAUGAACGCUGGCGGCGUGCCUAAUACAUGCAAGUCGAGCGAACAGAUAAGGAGCUUGCUCCUUUGACGUUAGCGGCGGACGGGUGAGUAACACGUGGGUAACCUACCUAUAAGACUGGAAUAACUCCGGGAAACCGGGGCUAAUGCCGGAUAACAUUUAGAACCGCAUGGUUCUAAAGUGAAAGAUGGUUUUGCUAUCACUUAUAGAUGGACCCGCGCCGUAUUAGCUAGUUGGUAAGGUAACGGCUUACCAAGGCAACGAUACGUAGCCGACCUGAGAGGGUGAUCGGCCACACUGGAACUGAGACACGGUCCAGACUCCUACGGGAGGCAGCAGUAGGGAAUCUUCCGCAAUGGGCGAAAGCCUGACGUAGCAACGCCGCGUGAGUGAUGAAGGUCUUCGGAUCGUAAAACUCUGUUAUUAGGGAAGAACAAAUGUGUAAGUAACUGUGCACGUCUUGACGGUACCUAAUCAGAAAGCCACGGCUAACUACGUG
rnacentral:rRNA from 1 species